UAUCAUCAAAUACACUUAUCAUAAAGGAGUUUCCAUUUUUGAGGUUCCUGGAUUUUUUCACAAUGUUGUUGAAAUGAAUACGUCUCUUCAUCUGCAUACAUAAUUGCUAUUCUAUCAAUGAAAAUAUUGUCUCAUGAAGCUAAAUCAUGAGAAUUGAUACUUACACACACACACUUACAAUACACACACUUCCGGAACACAUUUUGUGUAAGAAAUUGGAUGAAAUAGGGUAGAUCAUGAAAAUGAAGAAAAAAGUAGUCUUAUUUCUCCGAUUCUUAAACGGAGAAAAAUCGACGUUUGUUCUGAAAAAGACGGUAGAGUACAUGAAAGUGAAGGACAGAAAGCUUACAUCAUUCAGUUGAUAUGAGAUUUAUAAUAAAAAAAUUGUCUCAAUAUCAGAUUCAUUGAUAAAAUUCAUCAAGUUCUGCAAGGAGUUGAAGACCUUCUUUCCGACAAAACUAAUCAUUCUAGAGUUGAAUAAGUUUAAGAAGUGCUACAUUUUUCUUAUCCCUUCUAUAAUCCUAAGCAACAUUUUCCUUAUCCAUUUAUGGAAAUAUUGUAAAUUGAAAGUUCUCUGAAGAUUAACAUCCUCCCCCAUUCUUUUAAAUUAAUGUUUGAUGGGAUGGAAGUGCUUGUAAAUUGGAUUCGCGCCUACGCCUCUUAUGAGCAUCAAGAUCGGUCCUGAUCCUGAUAAUUUGUCAACAGUCACUCUUGCUUUCUGGGCUGCAUCUUCUAUUCACCAAGCACAGCGACGUGAUCGGCAUGGCGUCGAAAGCGACAGCUCGUCAUUGCCCUCAUGUCUGACUGGCAGUGACGUCACCAAGAGGGACGGUGGGAGGCCAGAAACGGAGGGGGGUGUUUAAAGGCGACCCGCGGCGUCCCGACGUUGGUUUAUUCUGGGCAUCGCUCUCUGGCCAAUAAUGGACUGAUGCUUCUAUUGCUCACCACUCAGACAUUCAGCUGACCCUUCACCCCUCCCAACCCGUACCCCUGUGGCACCACUUGGCGUCAGUCAGUGUCGGCGUCUUCAUUACCUUCCACAACGAGUACCGCACGUUUCAUGCGUUGUCUACAAUAAAUGGGACACGAAAAUCGAUUUCCUUAUUAAUGCCAUUAGUGCGGCUCUGAUAAGUUUUCCCGGCUAGGAACUAAAUGGGAAAUUUAUUUAUGAUACCUGUUGAAAGUGGCUACAUUUUGUAGUCGAGCACAGUUUGAUUAGGAGCACCCUUUAUUCAGGGUAAACAUUCUUGUAAAUUAGUGAGAUGUACGAUUUUUUAUACAAUGUGAGAAAAUUGGAACUGUGUUUGGAAUUGGCGUUGGAAUAAUGUCGGUGAACAUCACUCUCUACUCUAGAUUAGUUCAAAUGUGCAAAUCAGUCCAUGGUGAAUAUUCCUUCCAUAUAUCCCGGACAAGCAUUUUACUAUCCUUAAUCGGAUUGCGCAAUUGCUAAUGGGUUAAUGCUGGUGGCUUACUACAGCUACAGCCGCUUCGCUCUGGAUAAGAAACAACUUUCCAAUGGUAUUUCGUCAAAUCUUCUGCUGGGUAGACAGACGACGACCAGUUCUAGUCAGCAGAGUAAUAACUACAAGCACAACUGCACGCUUGCAGCCGUUUCAACUCUGACAUGUCUACUGAGAGACGUGUUAGUUUCAUACACAGGUAGACCAACGUCUUUGUCCUUUGCCAAUUACAACCGAACAGUCGCUGCUUUGCCUUUACAUUAGCCUUUCACCGUUCCUAACUGCAUCACAACCUUCAUUUACGAUCCUCGGUCUCAACAAUGAUGAUAAUUGAUAAUUAUCCAAUCGAAAGCCGUUUACUUCUUCCCUUGAUGGGUGACUGAUGCUGCUCCCUAUAGGCUACUACUACUCCAUACUGCAAUAUUUAUUAUUCGAAAUAAAUCAACCUAAACAUUAACAAAUCAAUAUUAUGAACAAAAAUUAUGAAUUUCGUAAAAACUGUAAAACUGACAAUUUCAUAAACUACUGCAAUUUGAUAGGAUGUUGCAAAUUAUUGAUAAUAAAAAUCUUAUUGAAUGGGAGGAGUUACUUAUUACAUAAACACCCGACCUCAAUGAACUCUGAUCCGCACAUUAGUUACAUCUGCAAUGUGCCCAACAAGUGAAAGGAGGAACAUCUUUGAAACUUUAUUCCAUAAUGGCUGGGUGGGGGGGGGGUGAACUGAAGACUCCGCUACUAGGAUCAGUAUUACAUGCUCAGUACUUCAUUAUUACUGGAAAUUAAAUAUUUCGAUAGUGGUUGGAAGUCCGUGUGUCAGUUAUUUUCAUUACUCGACCGGUUUCAUUUAACCUAUGUGUCUUGAGCUAUCAAAUAAAUUAAAUUGAUAAUUUGAUUCUAUUUUAUAUGCGUAAUUUGUAAAUCCAAUAUCUCACUAGAAGCCGGUUUAUUUAGUAAUAUCACUUAUUUUACUUACUUAUUUGUGUUCACUUACAAAAGUAAAAUUCAUAGUUCAUACUUGGUUCAUACUUGCUCGUUGAAGCUUGAGCUAAUCACUGAUUCCCAAGCUAAUUUUGUAUGUAGUUGUUCGUUAUUUCAUAACCCAUGUGUCUUCAUUUUGCUUUUGCUCGUGAUUCUGUAGUCUCAGAUAAUAUUCCACUAACAAUUCAUUGUAAUCUUGAAAACAUUCAAAAUAAUCUUCACUUUCACUCCUCGAAGAAUCAGAUUCUACAUCAUCACACUAAUUAAUUAAUUCUAAACUAUUUUGAAACUGCUAAAAAUGUGAUUGAAUAAUACAAGAAACAAUAAGCAGUCAGCGAUCUAUUUCGAUAUCCCACAGGAAAACGUAUCAAGCUGGAAUAUUAUCUUCCAAUUCCUUUUAAGAAUGAUCUGAAAUGAUCUCUUACUUCAAAUGAAGUCUCAUAAUACUCAUACUAGUCGUAGUAUGCAAAUUCCAAACAAUUGGCUCUUUCCUUCACAAUCGUAAUAGUGAUAGACUUCAUAACUCCUUGUAGGCCUAUAAUAAGUUCAUGAGUGUCUCUCUGCCAUAAAGCAGUUCAUUCACAUUUAUUUCCGCAAUUAUUCUUGCAAGCAACAUGCUGGCUUCUUACCUUCUUGUAGUAUCUGCCCAACUCAUCAUAGUGCAUUGCUGGAUUCUAAUCUCGAACAAGAUUUCUAUUAUGCAGCACUCCAGAAUUGAUGUUAUCGACCGUUUUCUAUCUUCAUGCCACGCAUAGUUAUUGAAUAAUAUUUAUUAUUGUAUGUGGUGAACCAGGAGAAAACCAGUCUCUUCCCACAAUAGACGUUCAAUUCCAAACAGAGAUAUGAGUGAAUUUGAUUAGAUAACAAGCAGAAAGUAGACUACAAUAUUAGAAAUGUAUUCAUAUUAAAUGAAAAGAUUACACAGAUUUUGACAAUUUCUUGGUAUUUUUUUUCAAUAUGAAUAAUUACUACAAUAUCAACUUCUCAACUAUUCAAAAAGAGAAAUGUAUUCCAUUGUAAAAUUGUGAAUUACAAAAAUAAAUAUAUCAAAAGAGAAAUACAUGAGUGAUUGAAGCUUUGUGACUGUGUUAUUUGGAAGAAGUUUGUUAUUUGUAUUACACGUAUGUGUCCAACUGACCAUUGAUAAUGCAGUAUAAAAAAUAUGACUGUUUAUAGAGGUAGGUCUCAUCGAUUCUAAAUAUUCUAAAUAUAGAUUUUCAUUACUGUGAUCCUGAAUUCUGUGAUAAUGGUUAAUGAAGUCGGUGGGUGGACUAGAUAUUUCAUUCUUUCAGCAAUUUAUGACAAACAACGAUCAAUUUUAAUACUUAUAUUAGGUGGCAUAUCGCCGUAUAUUGGUGGGUGUAUAAACAACAAACACUUGUUGCAAAUGGAAGUAGAAUGAUAUAUAUGGCAUGAAAUGUGGAAAUGUGCGGGGGAGCAGCUGCACAGGAACUCCUGAGGUUACAGUUGGUUACGCAAUUUCUGGCGAUAGCGAUGCUAACCGAUCUGUUGCUCUGAAUUUCGAAUGUGAAGUGGAGCCGGGUGUGAGUGGGUAAUGAAGACCGCCCCCCUCACUUGGUGGGGUUGAAGCGCAUUACUGACCCGGAGAAAGAUGUUUCUGUAUUUUAGUACUAACCUCACACAAAUUCAAUGCUGGAAUUAGUGUGUGUUAGAUGAGUGC
rnacentral:lncRNA from 1 species